CCCUUAGAUGUUCUGGGCUGCACGCGUGCUACAAUGGCGUUUCCAGCAAGUCUGCGAACCCGAGAGGGCCAGCGGAUCUUCGAAUUGGCGUCGUGAUCGGGACAGUCGAUUGCAAUUAUUUGACUCAAACGAGGAAUUCCUUGUAAUCGCGAUUCAUCAUAUCGCGCUGAAUACGUCCCUGCCCUUUGUACACACCGCCCGUCGCUCCUACCGAUUGAGCGAUCCGGUAAAUGUUUUGGAUUGGUGCCGGGGCGGCUAGCUGCCGGUCGCUACGAAAUUUUGUGAGCCUUAUCGCUUAGAGGAAGGAAAAGUCGUAACA
rnacentral:rRNA from 1 species